CCUACGGGAGGCAUCAGUGGGGAAUAUUGCGCAAUGGGCGAAAGCCUGACGCAGCGACGCCGCGUGAGGGAUGAAGGUCUUCGGAUCGUAAACCUCUGUCAGCAGGGAAGAACGGUCACUGUGCUAAUCAGCAGUGAAUUGACGGUACCUGCAAAGGAAGCACCGGCUAACUCCGUGCCAGCAGCCGCGGUAAUACGGAGGGUGCGAGCGUUAAUCGGAAUUACUGGGCGUAAAGCGCUCGUAGGCGGUAUGUCAAGUCAAUGGUGAAAUCCCCGCGCUCAACGUGGGAACUGCCUUUGAAACUGGCAGACUGGAGUGUGUGAGAGGAUAGUGGAAGUCCAGGUGUAGGAGUGAAAUCCGUAGAUAUCUGGAGGAACAUCAGUGGCGAAGGCGACUAUCUGGCACAUAACUGACGCUGAGGAGCGAAAGCGUGGGUAGCAAACAGGAUUAGAUACCCGAGUAGUC
rnacentral:rRNA from 1 species